UGCCUCUGGUGUCUCCUCAUUCGCAGAUAAAUCUUUCGCCUUUUACUGAAGAUUUCCGUGGGGAGGCACAAUACAAUGAGUCUUACCCUCAUUUUUUUCAACUCUGUCUUCGGACGGAGU
rnacentral:snRNA from 1 species